ensembl:lncRNA
UAUGAGAUCAGCGUGUGCCUCCCAGCUCAGCCUGCCCAGGGCCCCAUCUGUAUGGGAACUGUUGAAUCACGGCCUGAACCUCUGAUUGACCUCCUGAGGCGAGCGCUGAGUCAGCUGCAGGGCACAGGUGAACGCAAUUUCACCUGAGUGACCGGAAGGGGUGGAGCCUGGCUGCACCCACAGAGACCCCAUUUAAGGGCUGACUCCCAAGGAGGAAGGAUCUCUAGCUGGAGAUCACUCCUCUUGGAGCCCUUCUGUGAGCCCAGGACAUGGGUGCUGGAAGGCCACAGUGAGGUCUCCCCACAGCCUUCUCUUCUCCCCGCUGCAGAAGCCCAACUCCCUCAGCCUGCCUUCAGAGCUCCAGCCCUCCGAGCAGCUCGGUGGCCCUCCUCUAACAGACGGCACUCGAGCUGCUCUCCCUCUGGCACAGUGCCUUACGGGAUGAGCAGAGCAGGUAACGCUGCGUCCCCGGGACGUUCCGGGCUCGGCG